UAAUUGAAGAGUUUGAUCAUGGCUCAGAUUGAACGCUGGCGGUAGGCUUAACACAUGCAAGUCGUGCGAGAAAGUAUCUUCGGAUAUGAGUAGAGCGGCGGACGGGUGAGUAACGCGUA
rnacentral:rRNA from 1 species